rnacentral:ribozyme from 1 species
CAGAUAUAUUGGAUGCUAUUUAUGACCUUGUGAAUAAUUUAGAGGCUGGAUUAUUGUGCACAACAUUAUGUGGUGAAGACCCAGUAGAAUACCUGAAUGCCCUCCUCGCUGUGGGGACCUCUCUCAACCCUCUUGAGAAUUUGCAAU